GAUGUUUGAGAAGAGGUUGUCCGUGAUGUAUUUGCUUACUUUGCUGCAGAUAUUGCACGGUUGAUCUCUUUUCCUCAUC
rnacentral:pre_miRNA from 1 species